UACGAAGGGGGCUAGCGUUGCUCGGAAUCACUGGGCGUAAAGCACACGUAGGCGGAUUGCUAAGUCAGGGGUGAAAUCCUGGAGCUCAACUCCAGAACUGCCUUUGAUACUGAGGAUCUUGAGUUCGGGAGAGGUGAGUGGAACUGCGAGUGUAGAGGUGAAAUUCGUAGAUAUUCGCAAGAACACCAGUGGCGAAGGCGGCUCACUGGCCCGAUACUGACGCUGAGGCACGAAAGCGUGGGGAGCAAACAGG
rnacentral:rRNA from 1 species